UGCGUGAAGCUGGCCCCCCACCCCACGCAAAACACAGUGGAAAUGGUCUCGAUCGUUUGUGCUGCGUUAGUGCUGAAAAAAAUUUUGUUUGUGCUGCUUUACUUUUUAAGAUAUUAAAACAUGUUUUUAAGGUCAACCUAAGUUCACCCACCCCCCCGACAUUGUCCAAAUUUAACAAAAAUGGUCUCGAUCGUUUGUGCUGGUUUGUGCUGAAAUAAAAUGUGAGUUUUUUUGUACGAGUCACUUUUGAAAAUUAGGACGUUUAUAGUGUGGGAAGAAUGGAAGAAGAGAUUAAUUUUUGUUUUGGGUGACCACAAGUUAAAGUUAUUCGGGGAGCGUGAUGGAACUUAAAGCUGAAAAUCCU